rnacentral:rRNA from 1 species
AUUGAACGCUGGCGGAAUGCUUUACACAUGCAAGUCGAACGGCAGCACGGGGCAACCUGGUGGCGAGUGGCGAACGGGUGAGUAAUACAUCGGAACGUGCCCAAUCGUGGGGGAUAACGUAGCGAAAGUUACGCUAAUACCGCAUACGAUCUACGGAUGAAAGCGGGGGAUCGCAAGACCUCGCGCGAGUGGAGCGGCCGAUGUCAGAUUAGGUAGUUGGUGGGGUAAAGGCUCACCAAGCCAACGAUCUGUAGCUGGUCUGAGAGGACGACCAGCCACACUGGAACUGAGACACGGUCCAGACUCCUACGGGAGGCAGCAGUGGGGAAUUUUGGACAAUGGGCGCAAGCCUGAUCCAGCCAUUCCGCGUGCAGGAUGAAGGCCUUCGGUUGUAAACUGCUUUGUACGGUAACGAAACGGCGAGCUCUAAUACAGUUUGCUAAUGACGGUACCGUAAGAAUAAGACACCGGCUAACUACGUGCCAGCAGCCGCGGUAA